UGGGGGAUGGUCCGAAGCCGUAAAAAUGGCCUUCGGACGCAUUUUCGGCCAUGCAAACGUGUGCUAUAGGUCACGGGAGCCCGAGUACGGUCACACAGGCAUAUGGGGUCGAAAAUGUGAGGGAUGGUCCGAAGCCGUGAAAUUGGCCUCCGGACCCGUUUUCUGCUAGGAAAACGUGUGCGGUCACGGGAGCCCGAAUAUGGUAACACGGACAACUGGGGUCGGAAACGUGGGGGACGGUUCGAAGCCGUGAAAAUGGCCUCCGGACCCAUUUUCGGCUGUGAAAACAUGGGCUAUAGGUCACGAGAGUCCGAAUACAGUCACACCGACAUCCGAGGUCGAAAAUGUGGGGGAUUGUCCGAAGCCGUGAAAAUGGCCUCCGGACCCGUUUUCUGCUAGGAAAACGUGUGCUAUAGGUCACGGGAGCCCGAAUAUGGUAACACCGACAACCGGGGUCGAAAACGUGGGGGAUGGUCCGAAGCAAUGAAAAUGGCCUCCGGACCCGUUUUCGGCCGUGAAAACAUGUGCUAUAGGUCACGGGAGCCCGAAUACGGUCACACCGACAACCGGGGUCGAAAACGUGAGGGAUGGUCCGAAGCCGUAAAAAUGGCCUGCGGACCCGUUUUGUGCUAGGAAAACGUGUGCUACACGGGAGCCCGAAUAUGGUAACACCGACAACCGGGGUCGAAAACGUGGGGGAUGGUCCGAAGCCGUGAAAAUGGCCUUCGGACCCAUUUUCGGCCGUGAAAAUGUUGGAGGUAUGCCCUAGAGGCAAUCAUAGAGAUGAUGAUAUUCCAUUUGUAUCCAUGAUUUGUAUAUUGUGUUCAUUGAAUAUCCAUUAAAGGCUACUUGAAUUGAUUUGCAAUUAUGUGAAUUGUAUGUGAAACUCUUUACUUGUAUGGUUAUUCUAAAAGUUGUCCCUAGUCGGAGUUCAUGUGAGGACACACAUGAAUAUUAGACUAGCACAUGUAUUAGUUGAUGACUAUGUUUCACAAGUCAUGGACAUGGAGAUGUUGAACUAAUAAUGUGGACACAUGUGGAGACAUGUGCUAGGACUGACCCAACACGAGAAGUAGUUCUCUCUUUAAACAACAUAUACGCUUUGUCCUUAGACCUGAGAUUGUCGCAUGUAUUCUAGAUGUGGAUCGACCUACUUAGGGGCUAUCAAACGCUACGCCGUAACAGGGUAGUUAUAAAGGUAGCUUUCGGGUUUGUCAAGAAGCAUGCUAUGAGACAUGGUCAAUCAAGAUGGGAUUUGCCCCUCUCUGAUUGAGAGUGAUAUCUCUGGGCCCCUCGAGUGAUCGGAUCCGAAAAUGCAUGGCCAUGCUACGUACGGUUAAGAGUUAACCUACAAAGGGAUUCCGAAUCACAGGAUCGAGAAAGAGCGGUCGGCUUGAAGCUAGACCAAAUAUCGUGAGGCAAAGGGAAUAGCAUGUAUAUUAUGUUGUGAUGGUUCGUCUGAUAUGAUCUUCGUAUGCGUAUAGGAGUUGGCACGUCUUGCUAGAGGCCGCUACCGACUAUUGGGCCGAGUAGGAGUACUCGGGCCAUGUCUAUACGUAUCCGAACCCAUAGGGUCACACACUUAAGGGGCUGGAAGCCCAAUUCGGAUCUGAUCCGAGUUGGAUUAGGUUUAGGAGUACUAAUGGGCCUCGGAUCCAGAGGCCCAUCAGGAACCUCUAUAAAUAGAGGGGUGGGGGCGCCCUAGGGUUUACACCUUUUGGCUGAACACACUUGCCGCGCCUCCCACGCCCUCGCCUGUUGCAACUCGCGGAUCUAGCAAUCCGGCUUGCGACGCUUCCUCCCUGCACGUGUGGAUACCUUGGAGGUGUUGCGUCUGCAGCACUUGGACGAGCCAUCGACGAGCCGCCGACGAGCCACGACGAGCCGACGACGGGCCGCGGUACCGGAGGAGAUCUUGCUGUGCACGUGGACGAGCUGCUGAGGAGCUGCUGGACGUGAUCGACUACGUACGACUACGUUGAUCGACUACGUACGACUACGUGAUCGUCUUCACUGCAUCGACGCAUAUCUACAUCUUCCGCACCAGUAGUGCGUCGAGUGGUAAUCCCGUGAUCCUUAUACGACAGUUCUUCCUGGUUAUACGCGGUAGAAAUUUUGAUUUGCGCUAGUGUAGCCUACCUCGUAUCCCAACAGUGGUAUCAGAGCCGUAGCUGCUUAGUUUUGGAUUCGGGAUGUGUGCAUAUGGAGAUAUGCGAGUUCUCUGUUUGAUCUAUGUCCUGAUUUCGUGCCCUUGCUGCAAUGGUAGUGUAACGACAUACUCCUACCGGUCGGUUUCCGCCAUCGGAGUUAAGUGAUACACGUAAAUCCAGUUGUAGUGAGCGAAGAUCAAUAUGAUUGGUCGAAUCGAGAUCCAGGGUCAUACGCCAGGCGCAUUAGAUGUGCAAUGGUAGAUGGGAUCUACUGCCGGGGUCGGGAUUUUGCCGUAUGCGUAUGCUUCGGUAAAUCAGCCGUAACUUUUCGGUACGAUCUCGGAUCGAGGCGAUUUCUAUACGAAAAUUGAUCUACAGAAAAAGUUACACGUGAAUUUCAACUUCUUUGCCGUUUUCGGCGAAAUUAGAUUUCCCAAAUUCGGCUUGGAAGAUGGAGUUUCGGGCCUCCCAAGUUUGGAACGUUAGGACGCCUAACUCUAUUUUGCAGGAUGUAUGUAUGUAUCUUGUGAUCAGUAUGGCCCCAUUGUGUAUGUGAUGCAUGUGUGUAACUCAUUCGUGACCUGCGUGUCGUGCGUACGGCAACACGGCAGGAGCCAUAUGUGUUGUCACUUUAUUGUAUUUAAUGGUCUGCGUACCAAUCUGUGAUGAUCCAAGCAACCAUGUAAUCUUCAUUACUAGAUUCUUUACUAGCUAUUAGGCGUAAUAGCAUGCUGUAGUUCUUGGAGGACUCAUCACCAGGAGGAUGGCGCACAUGGAACAUGGAGAUGGAGAUCACCAUGGUGAACAGGUUCUAUGGAGAUGGAGAUCACCAUAUGAAAAAACGGGCCAUACUGUGUCACAACUGUGUGAAUGCUAUUCUGUUUAUGUUUUACUUUCUGCAUGCUGUGAUGUUAGAAGUAGAACGAUCCCUCGCAAAGUUUAAGUUAGUAUGCCCUCCCAACUAAAACUUGCACCGUCCCAUGUCUUGUACAAUUAGUGGUGGGUCUAUGAAAUUAGGGUGCCACUAGUUUUCCUUGACUAGACGGGUUUGUGUCGGACACUUACACGCAUAAGGGUUGGUUUGCUUAACAAGAUUAUCUUAAUGGUUAAGGACCUUGGGGCAUAAAGGUUGGGCGCCGAGACAUAGAGAUGUCACCCAACAACAGGAGUCAUAUGUUGAUAUGAUUAGCAAAAGUUGCUUACCGAUCUACCUCGUUUGCUAGCGGUGAUGCUAAAGCUCACUAGUGGACUUGUUAGUUGUGGAUCCUGAAUCACUAAGUUUCAAUAGAGGGAUAUUGAUUUUAGUGGGAGUAGAUUCUGUUAAAAUAGUUUAAUGUAAUUUGCUCUAUCAUGGAUACGUUUGUCUUAGUGUAUUUUGCAUUACUUUUGUUGUAGAUUAAAUGGCACCUAGCAACACCACCACAUCGUUUGCUUUGCGUUCGGUCCUUGAGAAGGACAAGUUGAAUGGAACAAACUACUCGGAUUGGAUCCGCAACCUGAGAAUUGUUCUCAGGGCUGAGAAAAAGGAAGAUGUUCUAGACAACCCACUACCAGAAGAACCUGCUGAGGAUGCACCCGCUGCUGCUAAGAAUGCUUACAAGAAAGCAUGUGAUGCUAACCUCGAAGUAAGCUGCCUUAUGCUUGCUUGCAUGGAACCCGAGCUGCAGAUGCAGUUCGAAACAAACCAUGAGGCGCACGAUAUGAUCGUGGCGCUUAGAGACAUGUUCCAAACACAGGCCAGGACUGAAAGGUUCAAUGUGUCUAAGGCCUUUGUUGAGAGCAAGCUAGCAGAAGGCGCAGCAGUAGGACCACACGUAAUCAAGAUGGUUGGUUACACUCAACGGUUGGAGAAGCUAGGCUUCCCACUGGGCCAAGAGUUGGCCACUGAUUUCAUUCUUUCGUCUCUUCCGCCUAGCUAUGGGAACUUCAUCUCGAACUACCAUAUGCAUGGGACGGAGAAGGGUCUGAAUGAGCUGUGUGGCAUGCUUAAAACAGCAGAGGCUGACAUCAAGAAAAGCGCUAGUACCAGCCAUGUGAUGGCGAUACAGAACAAGCCUAGCUUUAAGAAGAAGGGCAAUUCAUGGAAGAAGAAGGGCAAGGCUGGAACGUCCAAGCCAAACCCACCGCCCAAGGUUAAAGCUGGACCUGGACCUGCUCCAGACAAAGAGUGCUUUUACUGUCAUGAACUUGGUCACUGGAAGAGAAACUACAAGCAGUACCUAGCUUCCUUGAAGAAUGGCGGAAGUAAGAGUACUUCUACCUCAGGUACGCUUGUUGUUAAUGUUAUAGACAACAUAUUUCUCGCUGAUACAAUUAUUAAUUCUUGGGUAUUUGAUACCGGAUCGGUUGCUCAUAUUUGCAAUUCGAUGCAGGGAAUGAUAAGAAGUAGAAGCGUGGAAAGAGGAGAAGUUGAUUUCCGCGUGAGCAAUAAUGCAAGAGUUGCUGCUUUGACCGUCGGGACGAUGCAACUCCACCUCCCGUCAGGAUUUAUUAUGGAGUUGAAUAAUUGUUAUUUUGUUCCUAGUUUAAGUCGAAACAUUUUGUCUCCUUCAUGUUUGAUGAAGGAUGGUUAUUCAUUUGCGAGUGAAAACAAUGGUUGUGUGAUCUCUAAGAAUAAUAUGUUUAUGGCUUUUGCACCCAUUGUGAAUGGAUUAUUUGUUUUAAAUCUUGAUGGUUCACCUGUCUGUAAUGUAAGUGCUAAAAGGCCUCGGCCUAAUGAUUUGAGUCCUACCUACUUGUGGCAUUGUCGUUUGGGUCAUAUAAGUGAAAAGCGCAUGAAGAAGCUCCAUUCUGAUGGACUUCUAACUUCGUUUGAUUUUGAAUCAUACGAGACAUGUGAGGCUUGCUUGCUAGGCAAGAUGACCAAGACGCCUUUCACAGGAUUUCCUGAGAGAGCAGUAGACUUGUUGGAACUCGUACAUAGUGAUGUAUGUGGACCAAUGAGCACGACGGCUAGAGGAGGAUUCCAAUACUUCAUAACUUUCACUGAUGAUUUUAGUAGAUAUGGCUAUGUCUACUUGAUGAGGCACAAGUCUGAAACCUUUGAAAAGUUCAAGGAAUUUCAGAAUGAAGUUGAAAAUCAGCAUGGCAAGAAAAUUAAGGCCUUACGAUCUGAUCGUGGAGGCGAGUAUUUGAGCCACGAGUUUAGCAAUCAUCUAAAGAGUUGCGGAAUUGUUCCACAACUUACGCCGCCUGGAACACCUCAGAGAAACGGUGUGUCCGAGUGAUGUAAUCGAACUUUGUUAGACAUGGUUCGAUCAAUGAUGAGCCAGUCGGACCUACCAUUGUCAUUUUGGGGAUACGCUCUAGAAACAGCAGCUUUCACACUUAAUAGGGUACCAUCUAAAUCCGUAGUUAAGACACCAUAUGAGAUAUGGACUGGAAAGGUUCCUAGUUUGUCUUUUCUAAAGAUUUGGGGAUGUGAAGUGUUUGUCAAGCGACUUCAGUCGGACAAGAUCACACCCAAGUCGGAUAAGUGCAUUUUCGUGGGAUAUCCAAAGGAAACUUUGGGAUAUUAUUUCUACAACCGAUCAGAAGGCAAAGUGUUUGUCGCUCGGAACGGGGUUUUCCUAGAGAAAGAGUUUCUCAAAGGAGAAAAGAGUGGAAAGACAGUGCAUCUUGAAGAAGUUCAAGAUGAGCCAAUCGGGCAAGAAUCAAUGAGUGAUGCUAACGUAGCAGAACAAGUUGAGAUACCCAUGGCAAGAGAAGCACCGCCACAACCACGAAGGUCAGCAAGGCUCCGCGAAAUGCGGGAAAUAUUAUUGUUGGACAAUGAUGAGCCUGCGACAUAUGCAGAAGCAAUGAUGGACCCAGACUCCGAAAAAUGGCAGAGUGCCAUGCAAUCCGAAAUAGAGUCCAUGGGAGACAAUCAAGUUUGGAACUUGGUUGACCCGCCUGAUAGUGUUAAAGCCAUAGAGUGCAAGUGGAUCUAUAAGAAGAAAAAGGAUAUGGAUGGAAAUGUUCACAUCUAUAAAGCACGACUUGUCGCAAAAGGUUUUCGACAAGUUCAAGGAGUUGACUACGACGAGACCUUCUCACCCGUAGUGAUGCUUAAGUCCAUUCGGAUUAUUCUAGCUAUAGCUGCAUAUUUCGAUUAUGAGAUAUGGCAGAUGGAUGUCAAGACAGCUUUCCUGAAUGGAAACCUAGCUGAGGACGUGUAUAUGAUACAGCCCGAGGGUUUUGUCGAUCCGAAAAAUGCUGGAAAGGUAUGCAAGCUUCAGAGAUCCAUUUAUGGAUUGAAGCAAGCAUCUAGGAGUUGGAACAUUCGUUUUGAUGAAGUGGUCAAAGGAUUUGACUUCACCAAGAACGAAGAAGAGUCUUGUGUUUACAAGAAGGUUAGUGGGAGCUCUGUAGUAUUUCUAAUCUUAUAUGUGGAUGACAUAUUACUGAUUGGAAAUAACAUUCCUAUGCUUGAGUCCGUAAAGACUUCACUGAAAAAUAGUUUUUCGAUGAAGGACUUAGGGGAAGCGGCAUAUAUUCUGGGCAUUAAGAUCUAUAGAGAUAGAUCGAGAAGGCUUAUAGGUUUGAGCCAAGAUACUUAUAUUGACAAAGUGUUGAAGCGGUUCAGCAUGGAAGAGGCAAAGAAAGGGUUCUUGCCUAUGUCACAUGGCAUACAUCUCAGCAAGACUCAGUGUCCUUCGACUGCUGAUGAGCGGGAUCGCAUGAGUAGAGUGCCAUAUGCCUCGGCUAUUGGAUCCAUCAUGUAUGCAAUGAUAAGUACUCGCCCAGAUGUUUCAUAUGCGCUAAGUAUGACAAGCAGACACCAAUCUGAUCCAGGUGAGAGUCACUGGACAGCGGUGAAAAACAUUCUUAAGUACUUGAAAAGGACUAAAGAUAUGUUCCUCGUCUAUGGAGGUCAGGAGGAGCUCGUUGUAACAGGUUACACCGAUGCUAGUUUCCAAACCGACAGAGAUGAUUCGAAGUCACAAUCAGGAUUUGUGUUCACGCUAAAUGGUGGUGCUGUUAGUUGGAAGAGUUCCAAGCAGGAGACGGUGGCCGAUUCUACGACAGAAGCCGAGUACAUCGCGGCUUCGGAAGCCGCGAAGGAAGGUGUUUGGAUAAGGAAUUUCCUCAUUGAGCUUGGUGUGUUCCCGAAUGCGUCCAGCCCAUUGAAUCUCUACUGUGAUAACAAUGGGGCAAUUGCGCAAGCAAAGGAGCCAAGGAACCACCAGAAGAACAAACACGUAAUGCGGCGAUUUCAUCUCAUUCGAGACUUCGUUAACCGGGGUGAGAUCAAGAUAUGCAAAAUACACACGGAUCUGAACAUUUCUGAUCCGUUGACAAAACCACUCCCGCAGGCUAAGCAUGAUGCGCAUGUAAGAGCUAUGGGUAUUAGGUACCUUCUAGAUUGACUCUAGUGCAAGUGGGAGACUGUUGGAGGUAUGCCCUAGAGGCAAUCAUAGAGAUGAUGAUAUUCCAUUUGUAUCCAUGAUUUGUAUAUUGUGUUCAUUGAAUAUCCAUUAAAGGCUACUUGAAUUGAUUUGCAAUUAUGUGAAUUGUAUGUGAAACUCUUUACUUGUAUGGUUAUUCUAAAAGUUGUCCCUAGUCGGAGUUCAUGUGAGGACACACAUGAAUAUUAGACUAGCACAUGUAUUAGUUGAUGACUAUGUUUCACAAGUCAUGGACAUGGAGAUGUUGAACUAAUAAUGUGGACACAUGUGGAGACAUGUGCUAGGACUGACCCAACACGAGAAGUAGUUCUCUCUUUAAACAACAUAUACGCUUUGUCCUUAGACCUGAGAUUGUCGCAUGUAUUCUAGAUGUGGAUCGACCUACUUAGGGGCUAUCAAACGCUACGCCGUAACAGGGUAGUUAUAAAGGUAGCUUUCGGGUUUGUCAAGAAGCAUGCUAUGAGACAUGGUCAAUCAAGAUGGGAUUUGCCCCUCUCUGAUUGAGAGUGAUAUCUCUGGGCCCCUCGAGUGAUCGGAUCCGAAAAUGCAUGGCCAUGCUACGUACGGUUAAGAGUUAACCUACAAAGGGAUUCCGAAUCACAGGAUCGAGAAAGAGCGGUCGGCUUGAAGCUAGACCAAAUAUCGUGAGGCAAAGGGAAUAGCAUGUAUAUUAUGUUGUGAUGGUUCGUCUGAUAUGAUCUUCGUAUGCGUAUAGGAGUUGGCACGUCUUGCUAGAGGCCGCUACCGACUAUUGGGCCGAGUAGGAGUACUCGGGCCAUGUCUAUACGUAUCCGAACCCAUAGGGUCACACACUUAAGGGGCUGGAAGCCCAAUUCGGAUCUGAUCCGAGUUGGAUUAGGUUUAGGAGUACUAAUGGGCCUCGGAUCCAGAGGCCCAUCAGGAACCUCUAUAAAUAGAGGGGUGGGGGCGCCCUAGGGUUUACAAUUUUUGGCUGAACACACUUGCCGCGCCUCCCACGCCCUCGCCUGUUGCAACUCGCGGAUCUAGCAAUCCGGCUUGCGACGCUUCCUCCCUGCACGUGUGGAUACCUUGGAGGUGUUGCGCCUGCAGCACUUGGACGAGCCAUCGACGAGCCGCCGACGAGCCACGACGAGCCGACGACGGGCCGCGGUACCGGAGGCGAUCUUGCUGUGCACGUGGACGAGCUGCUGAGGAGCUGCUGGACGUGAUCGACUACGUACGACUACGUUGAUCGACUACGUACGACUACGUGAUCGUCUUCACUGCAUCGACACAUAUCUACAUCUUCCGCACCAGUAGUGCGUCGAGUGGUAAUCCCGUGAUCCUUAUACGGCAGUUCUUCCUGGUUAUACGCGGUAGAAAUUUUGAUUUGCGCUAGUGUAGCCUACCUCGUAUCCCAACAGAAAAUAUGUGCUAUAGGUCACGGGAGCCAGAAUACCGUCACACCGGCAUCCGGGGUCAAACACAUGGGGGAUGGUCCGAAGCCGUGAAAAUGGCCUCCGGACCUGUUUUCUGCCAAGAAAAUGAGUGCUAUAGGUCACGCGAGCCUGAAUACGGUCACACCGGCAUCCGGGGUCGAAAACGUGGGGGAUGGUCCGAAGCCGUGAAAUUGGCCUCCGGACCCGUUUUCCACCAAGAAAAUGUGUGCUAUAGGUCACGGGAGCCCGAGUACGGUCACACAGGCAUCCGGCGUCGAAAACGUGGGGGAUGGUCCGAAGCCGUGAAAAUGGCCUCCGGACCCGUUUUAUGCAAGGAAAACGUGUGCUAUAGGUCAUGGGAGCUCGAAUACGAUCACACCGACAACUGGGGUCGAAAACGUGGGGGAUGGUCAAAAGCCGUGAAAAUGGCCUCCGGACCCGUUUUCGGCCGUGAAAACGUGGGCUAUAAGUCACGGGAGCCCGAAUAUGCUAACACCGACAACCGGGGUUGAAAACGUGGAGGAUGGUCCGAAGCCAUGAAAAUGGCCUCCGGACCCGUUUUCGGCCCUGAAAACAUGUGCUAUAGGUUACGGGAUCCCGAAUACCGUCACAUCGGCAUCCGGGGUCAAACACGUGGGGGAUGGUCCGAAGCCGUGAAAAUGGCCUCCGGACCCGUUUUCUGCCAAGAAAAUGAGUGCUAUAGGUCACGGGAGCCCGAAUACGGUUAACCGGCAUCCCGGGUCGAAAACGUGGGGGAUGGUCCGAAGCCGUGAAAUUGGCCUCCGGACCCGUUUUCCACCAAGAAAAUGUGUGCUAUAGGUCACGGGAGCCCGAGUACGGUCACACAGGCAUCCGGCGUCGAAAACGUGGGGGAUGGUCCGAAGCCGUGAAAAUGGCCUCCGACCCGUUUUCCACCAAGAAAAUGUGUGCUAUAGGUCACGGGAGCCUGAAUACGGUUACACCAACAACCGGGGUCGAAAACGUGGGGGAUGGUCCGAAGCCGUAAAAAUAGCCUCCGGACCCAUUUUCGGCCAUGCAAACGUGUGCUAUAGGUCACGGGACCCGAGUACGGUCACACAGGCAUCCGGGGUCGAAAACGUGGGGGAUGGUCCGAAGCCGUGAAAAUGGCCUCCGGACCCGUUUUCUGCUAGAAAAACGUGUGUGGUCACGAGGGCCCGAAUAUGGUAACACCGACAACCGGGGUCGAAAACGUGGGGGAUGGUCCGAAGUCGUGAAAAUGGCCUCCGGACCUGUUUUCGGCCGUGAAAACGUGGGCUAUAGGUCACGAGAGCCCGAAUACGGUCACACUGGCAUCCGGGUCGAAAACGUGGGGGAUGGUCCGAAGCCGUGAAAAUGGCCUCCGGACCCGUUUUCUGCAAGGAAAACGUGUGCUAUAGGUCACGGGAGCCCGAAUACGAUCACACUUACAACCGGGGUCGAAAACGUGGGGAAUGUUCCAAAGCCGUGAAAAUGGCUUCCGGACCCGUUUUCUGCUAGGAAAAUGUGUGCUAUAGGUCAUGGGAGCCCGAAUACGAUCACACUUACAACCGGGGUCGAAAACGUGGGUGAUGGUCGGAAGCCGUGAAAAUGGCCUCCGGACCCAUUUUCGGCCGUGAAAACGUGUGCUAUAGGUCAUGGGAGCCCGAACAGGGUAACACCGACAACCGGGGUCGAAAACGUGGGGGAUGGUCCGAAGCCGUGAAAAUGGCCUCCAGACCCGUUUUAUGCAAGGAAAACGUGUGCUAUAGGUCAUGGGAGCUCGAUACGAUCACACCGACAACUGGGGUCGAAAACGUGGGGGAUGGUCAAAAGCCGUGAAAAUGGCCUCCGGACCCGUUUUCGGUCGUGAAAACGUGUGCUAUAAGUCACGGGAGCCCGAACAUGGUAACACCGACAACCGGGGUCGAAAACGUGGGGGAUGGUCCGAAGCCGUGAAAAUGGCCUUCGGACCCGUUUUCGGCUGUGAAAACAUGUGCUAUAGGUCAGGGGAGCCCGAAUACCGUCACACCGGCAUCCGGGGUCAAACACGUGGGGGAUGGUCCGAAGCCGUGAAAAUGGCCUCCGGACCCGUUUUCCACCAAGAAAAUGUGUGCUAUAGGUCACGGGAGCCUGAAUACGGUUACACCGACAACCGGGGUCGAAAACGUGGGGGAUGGUCCGAAGCCGUAAAAAUAGCCUCCGGACCCAUUUUCGGCCAUGCAAACGUGUGCUAUAGGUCACGGGACCCGAGUACGGUCACACAGGCAUCCGGGGUCGAAAAUGUGGGGGAUGGUCCGAAGCCGUGAAAAUGGCCUCCGGACCCGUUUUCUGCUAGAAAAACGUGUGCGGUCACGAGGGCCCGAAUAUGGUAACACCGACAACCGGGGUCGAAAACGUGGGGGAUGGUCGGAAGUCGUGAAAAUGGCCUCCGGACCUGUUUUCGGCCGUGAAAACGUGGGCUAUAGGUCACGAGAGCCCGAAUACGGUCACACUGGCAUCCGGGUCGAAAACGUGGGGGAUGGUCCGAAGAAGUGAAAAUGGCCUCCGGACCCGUUUUCUGCUAGGAAAAAUGUGUGCGGUCAUGGGAGCCCGAAUAUGGUAACACGGACAACAGGGGUCGAAAACGUGGGGGAUGGCCCGAAGCCGUGAAAAUGGCCUCCGGACCCGUUUUGUUCUAGGAAAACGUGUGCUAUAGGUCACGGGAGCCCGAACAUGGUAACACCGACAACCGGGGUCGAAAACGUGGGGGAUGGUCCGAAGCCGUGAAAAUGGCCUUCGGACCCGUUUUCGGCCGUGAAAACAUGUGCUAUAGGUCAGGGGAGCCCGAAUACCGUCACACCGGCAUCCGGGGUCAAACACGUGGGGGAUGGUCCGAAGCCGUGAAAAUGGCCUCCGGACCCGUUUUCUGCCAAGAAAAUGAGUGCUAUAGGUCACGGGAGCCCGAAUACGGUCAACCGGCAUCCCGGGUCGAAAACGUGGGGGAUGGUCCGAAGCCGUGAAAUUAGCCUCCGGACCCGUUUUCCACCAAGAAAAUGUGUGCUAUAGGUCACGGGAGCCCGAAUACGGUUACACCCACAACCGGGGUCGAAAACGUGGGGGAUGGUCCGAAGCCGUAAAAAUGGCCUUCGGACCCAUUUUCGGCCAUGCAAACGUGUGCUAUAGGUCACGGGAGCCCGAGUACGGUCACGCAGGCAUCCGGGGUUGAAAAUGUGAGGGAUGGUCCGAAGCCGUGAAAUUGGCCUCCGGACCCGUUUGCUGCUAGGAAAACGUGUGCGGUCACGGGAGCCCGAAUAUGGUAACACGGACAACUGGGGUCUAAAACGUGGGGGACGGUUCGAAGCCGUGAAAAUGGCCUCCGGACCCAUUUUCGGCUGUGAAAACGUGGGCUAUAGGUCACGAGAAUCCGAAUACAGUCACACCGGCAUCCGGGGUCGAAAAUGUGGGGGAUUGUCCGAAGCCGUGAAAAUGGCCUCUGGACCCGUUUUCUGCUAGGAAAACGUGUGCUAUAGGUCACGGGAGCCCGAAUAUGGUAACACAGACAACCGGGGUCGAAAACGUGGGGGAUGGUCCGAAGCCGUGAAAAUGGCCUUCGGACCCGUUUUCGGCCGUGAAAAAAUGUGCUAUAGGUCACGGGAGCCCGAAUACCUUCACACCGGCAUCCGAGGUCAAACACAUGGGGGAUGGUCCGAAGCCGUGAAAAUGGCCUCCGAACCCGUUUUCGGCCAAGAAAAUGAGUGCUAUAGGUCACGGGAGCCCGAAUACGGUCACACCGGCAUCCGGGGUCGAAAACGUGGGGGAUGGUCCGAAGCCGUGAAAAUGGCCUCCGUACCCGUUUUCUGCCGUGAAAAUGUGUGCUAUAGGUCAUGGGAGCUCGAAUACGAUCACACCGACAACCGGGGUCGAAAAUGUGGGAGAUGGUCCGAAGCCGUAAAAAUGGCCUUCGGACCCAUUUUCGGCCAUGCAAACGUGUGCUAUAGGUCACGAAAGCCCGAAUAUGGUAACACCGACAACCGGGGUCGAAAAUGUGGGGGAUGGUAAGAAGCCGUGAAAUUGGCCUCCGGACCCGUUUUCUGCUAGGAAAACGUGUGCGGUCACGGGAGCCCGAAUAUGGUAACACAGACAACUGGGGUCGAAAACGUGGGGGAUGGUCCGAAGCCAUGAAAAUGGCCUCUGGACCCGUUUUCGGCCGUGAAAACAUGUGCUAUAGGUCACGGGAGCCCGAAUACCGUCACACCGGCAUCAGGGGUUGAAAACGUGGGGGAUUGUCCGAAGCCGUGAAAAUGGCCUACGGACCCGUUUUCUGCUAGGAAAAUGUGUGCGGUCACGGGAGCCCGAAUAUGGUAACACCGACAACUGGGGUUGAAAACAUGGGGGAUGUUCCGAAGCCGUGAAAAUGGCCUCCGGACCGAUUUUCGGCAGUGAAAACGUGCGCUAUAGAUCAAGGGAGCCCGAAUACGGUCACAAUGGCAACUGGGAUCGAAAACGUGGGGCAUGGUCUGAAAUCGUGAAUAUGGCCUCUAGACCCGUUUUCUGCCAAGAAAAUGAGUGCUAUAGGUCACGGGAGCCCGAAUACGGUCACACCGGCAUCCGGGGUUGAAAACGUGGGGGAUGGUCCGAAGCCGUGAAAAUGGCCUUCAGACCCGUUUUGUGCUAGGAAAACGUGUGCUAUAGGUCACGGGAGCCCGAAUAUGGUAACACCGACAACCGGGGUUGAAAACGUGGGGGAUGGUCCGAAGCCGUAAAAAUAGCCUUCGGACCCGUUUUCGGCUGUGAAAACAUGUGCUAUAGGUCACGGGAGCCCGAAUACGGUCACACCGGCAUCCGGGGUCAAACACGUGGGGGAUGGUCCGAAGCCGUGAAAAUGGCCUCCGGACCCGUUUUUUGCCAAGAAAAUGAGUGCUAUAGGUCACGGGAGCCCGAAUACGGUAACACCGACAACAGGGGUCAAAAACGUGGGGGAUGGUCCAAAGCCGGAAAAAUGGCCUCCGGACCCGUUUUCGGCCGUGAAAACGUGUGCUAUAGGUCACGGGAGCUUGAAUACGAUCACACCGGCAUCCAGGGUCGAAAAUGUGGGGAAAUGUCCGAAGCCGUGAAAAUGGCCUCCGGACCCGUUUUCUGCCAAGAAAACGUGUGCUAUAGGUCACGGGAGCCUAAAUACGGUAACACCGCCAACCGGGGUCGAAAACGCGGGGGAUGGUCCGAAGCCGUGAAAACGGCCUCCGGACACAUUUUCGGCCGUGAAAACGUGGGCUAUAGGUCACGAGAGCCCGAAUACGGUCACACCGGCAUCCGGGGUCGAGAACGUGGGGGAUGGUCCCAAGCCGUGAAAAUGGCCUCCGGACCCGUUUUCGGCCGUGAAACCGUCUACUAAAGGUCACGGGAGCCCGAAUACGGUCACACCGGCAUGCGGGUUCGAAAACGUGGGGGACGGUCCGAAGCCGUGAAAUUGGCCUCCGGACCCGUUUUCCACCAAGAAAAUGUGUGCUAUAGGUCACGGGAGCCCGAAUACGGUUACACCGACAACCGGGGUCGAAAACGUGGAGGAUGGUCCGAAGCCGUAAAAAUAGCCUCCGGACCCAUUUUCGGCCAUGCAAACGUGUGCUAUAGGUCACGGGAGCCCGAGUACGGUCACACAGGCAUCCGGCGUCGAAAACGUGGGGGAUGGUCCGAAGCCGUGAAAAUGGCCUCCGGACCCGUUUUCUGCUAGGAAAAAUGUGUGCGGUCAUGGGAUCCCGAAUAUGGUAACACGGACAACAGGGGUCGAAAACGUGGGGGAUGGUCCGAAGCCGUGAAAAUGGCCUCCGGACCUAUUUUCGGCUGUGAAAACGUGGGCUAUAUGUCACGAGAGUCCGAAUACGGUCACACCGGCAUCCGGUGUCGAAAACAUGAGGGAUGGUCCGAAGCCGUGAAAAUGGCCUCGGGACCCAUUUUCUGCUAGGAAAAAGUGUGCGGUCACUGGAGCCCGAAUAUGGUAACACCGCCAACCGGGGUCGAAAACGUGGGGGAUGGUCCGAAGCCGUGAAAACGGCCUCCGAACAUGUUUUGGGCUGUGAAAACGUGGGCUAUAGGUCACGAGAGCCUGAAUACAGUCACACCGGCAUCCGGGGUCGAAAACGUGGGGAAUGGUCCGAAUCCGUGAAAAUGGCCUCCGGACCUGUUUUCUGCCAAGAAAACGUGUGCUAUAGGUCACGGGAGCCUGAAUACGGUAACACCGCCAACCGGGGUCGAAAACGUGGGGGAUCAUCCGAAGCCGUGAAAACAGCCUCCGGAGACGUUUUCGGCCGUGAAAACGUGGGCUAUAGGUCACGAGAGCCCGAAUACGGUCACACCGGCAUCCGGGGUCGAAAACGUGGGGGAUGGUCCAAAGCCGUGAAAAUGGCCUUCGGACCCGGUUUCGGCCAAGAAAACGUGUGCUAUAGGUCACGGGAUCCCGAAUACGGUCACACCGGUAACCGGGGUCUAAAACACAGGUGAUCAUCCGAAGCCGUGAAAAUUGCCUCAGGACCCAUUUUUGGCCAAGAAAACGUGUGCUAUAGGUCACGGGAGACCGAAUACGGUCACACCGGAACCGGGGACGAAAAUGUGGGGGAUGGUCCGAAGCCGUGAAAACGGCCUCCGGACCCAUUUUCGGCUGUGAAAACGUGGGCUAUAGGUCACGGGAGCCCGAGUACGGUCACACAGGCAUCCGGCGUCGAAAACGUGGGGGAUGGUCCGAAGCCGUGAAAAUGGCCUCCGGACCCGUUUUCUGCUAGGAAAAAUGUGUGCGGUCAUGGGAGCCCGAAUAUGGUAACACGGACAACAGGGGUCGAAAACGUGGGGGAUGGUACGAAGCCGUGAAAAUGGCCUCCGGACCGAUUUUCGGCAGUGAAAACGUGCGCUAUAGAUCAAGGGAGCCCGAAUACGGUCACAAUGGCAACUGGGAUCGAAAACGUGGGGCAUGGUCUGAAAUCGUGAAUAUGGCCUCUGGACCCGUUUUCUGCCAAGAAAAUGAGUGCUAUAGGUCACGGGAGCCCGAAUACAGUCACACCGGCAUCCGGGGUUGAAAACGUGGGGGAUGGUCCGAAGCCGUGAAAAUGGCCUUCAGACCCGUUUUGUGCUAGGAAAACGUGUGCUAUAGGUCACGGGAGCCCGAAUAUGGUAACACCGACAACCGGGGUUGAAAACGUGGGGGAUGGUCCGAAGCCGUAAAAAUAGCCUUCGGACCCGUUUUCGGCCGUGAAAACAUGUGCUAUAGGUCACGGGAGCCCGAAUACGGUCACACCGGCAUCCGGGGUCAAACACGUGGGGGAUGGUCCGAAGCCGUGAAAAUGGCCUCCGGACCCGUUUUUUGCCAAGAAAAUGAGUGCUAUAGGUCACGGGAGCCCGAAUACGGUAACACCGACAACAGGGAUCAAAAACGUGGGGGAUGGUCCAAAGCCGGAAAAAUGGCCUCCGGACCCGUUUUCGGCCGUGAAAACGUGUGCUAUAGGUCACGGGAGCCCGAAUACGAUCACACCGGCAUCCGGGGUCGAAAAUGUGGGGAAAUGUCCGAAGCCGUGAAAAUGGCCUCCGGACCCGUUUUCUGCCAAGAAAACGUGUGCUAUAGGUCACCGGAGCCUAAAUACGGUAACACCGCCAACCGGGGUCGAAAACGCGGGGGAUGGUCCGAAGCCGUGAAAACGGCCUCCGGACACAUUUUCGGCCGUGAAAUUGUGGGCUAUAGGUCUCGAGAGCCCGAAUACGGUCACACCGGCAUCCGGGGUCGAGAACGUGGGGGAUGGUCCCAAGCCGUGAAAAUGGCCUCCGGACCCGUUUUCGGCCGUGAAACCGUCUACUAAAGGUCACGGGAGCCCGAAUACGGUCACACCGACAUGCGGGUUCGAAAACGUGGGCGACGGUCCGAAGCCGUGAAAUUGGCCUCCGGACCCGUUUUCCACCAAGAAAAUGUGUGCUAUAGGUCACGGGAGCCCGAAUACGGUUACACCGACAACCGGGGUCGAAAACGUGGAGGAUGGUCCGAAGCCGUAAAAAUAGCCUCCGGACCCAUUUUCGGCCAUGCAAACGUGUGCUAUAGGUCACGGGAGCCCGAGUACGGUCACACAGGCAUCCGGCGUCGAAAACGUGUGGGUUGGUCCGAAGCCGUGAAAAUGGCCUCCGAACCCGUUUUCUGCUAGGAACAAUGUGUGCGGUCAUGGGAGCCCGAAUAUGGUAACACGGACAACAGGGGUCGAAAACGUGGGGGAUGGUCCGAAGCCGUGAAAAUGGCCUCCGGACCUAUUUUCGGCUGUGAAAACGUGGGCUAUAUGUCACGAGAGUCCGAAUACGGUCACACCGGCAUCCGGUGUCGAAAACAUGAGGGAUGGUCCGAAGCCGUGAAAAUGGCCUCGGGACCCAUUUUCUGCUAGGAAAAAGUGUGCGGUCACGGGAGCCCGAAUAUGGUAACACCGCCAACCGGGGUCGAAAACGUGGGGGAUGGUCCGAAACCGUGAAAACGGCCUCCGAACAUGUUUUCGGCUGUGAAAACGUGGGCUAUAGGUCACGAGAGCCUGAAUAGAGUCACACCGGCAUCCGGGGUCGAAAACGUGGGGAAUGGUCCGAAUCCGUGAAAAUGGCCUCCGGACCUGUUUUCUGCCAAGAAAACGUGUGCUAUAGGUCACGGGAGCAUGAAUACGGUAACACCGCCAACCGGGGUCGAAAACGUGGGGGAUCAUCCGAAGCCGUGAAAACAGCCUCCGGAGACGUUUUCGGCCGUGAAAACGUGGGCUAUAGGUCACGAGAGCCCGAAUACGGUCACACCGGCAUCCGGGGUCGAAAACGUGGGGGAUGGUCCAAAGCCCUGAAAAUGGCCUUCGGACCCGGUUUCGGCCAAGAAAACGUGUGCUAUAGGUCACGGGAUCCCGAAUACGGUCACACCGGUAACCGGGGUCUAAAACAUGGGUGAUCAUCCGAAGCCGUGAAAAUUGCCUCAGGACCCAUUUUUGGCCAAGAAAACGUGUGCUAUAGGUCACGGGAGACCGAAUACGGUCACACCGGAACCGGGGACGAAAAUGUGGGGGAUGGUCCGAAGCCGUGAAAACGGCCUCCGAACAUGUUUUCGGAUGUGAAAACGUGGGCUAUAGGUCACGGGAGCCCGAGUACGGUCACACAGGCAUCCGGCGUCGAAAACGUGGGGGAUGGUCCGAAGCCGUGAAAAUGGCCUCCGGACCCGUUUUCUGCUAGGAAAAAUGUGUGCGGUCAUGGGAGCCCGAAUAUGGUAACACGGACAACAGGGGUCGAAAACGUGGGGGAUGGUCCGAAGCCGUGAAAAUGGCCUCCGGACCUAUUUUCGGCUGUGAAAACGUGGGCUAUAUGUCACGAGAGUCCGAAUACGGUCACACCGGCAUCCGGUGUCGAAAACAUGAGGGAUGGUCUGAAGCCGUGAAAAUGGCCUCGGGACCCAUUUUCUGCUAGGAAAAAGUGUGCGGUCACGGGAGCCCGAAUAUGGUAACACCGCCAACCGGGGUCGAAAACGUGGGGGAUGGUCCGAAGCCGUGAAAACGGCCUCCGAACAUGUUUUCGGCUGUGAAAACGUGGGCUAUAGGUCACGAGAGCCUGAAUACAGUCACACCGGCAUCCGGGGUCGAAAACAUGGGGAAUGGUCCGAAUCCGUGAAAAUGGCCUCCGGACCUGUUUUCUGCCAAGAAAACGUGUGCUAGAGGUCACGGGAGCCUGAAUACGGUAACACCGCCAACCGGGGUCGAAAACGUGGGGGAUCAUCUGAAGCCGUGAAAACAGCCUCCGGAGACGUUUUCGGCCGUGAAAACGUGGGCUAUAGGUCACUAGAGCCCGAAUACGGUCACAUAGGCAUCCGGUGUCGAAAACAUGAGGGAUGGUCCGAAGCCGUGAAAAUGGCCUCGGGACCCAUUUUCUGCUAGGAAAAAGUGUGCGGUCACGGGAGCCCGAAUAUGGUAACACCGCCAACCGGGGUCAAAAACGUGGGGGAUGGUCCGAAGCCGUGAAAACGGCCUCCGAACAUGUUUUCGGCUGUGAAAACGUGGGCUAUAGGUCACGAGAGCCUGAAUACAGUCACACCGGCAUCCGGGGUCGAAAACGUGGGGAAUGGUCCGAAUCCGUGAAAAUGGCCUCCGGACCUGUUUUCUGCCAAGAAAACGUGUGCUAUAGGUCACGGGAGCCUGAAUACGGUAACACCGCCAACCGGGGUCGAAAACGUGGGGGAUCAUCCGAAGCCGUGAAAACAGCCUCCGGAGACGUUUUCGGCCGUGAAAACGUGGGCUAUAGGUCACGAGAGCCCGAAUACGGUCACACCGGCAUCCGGUGUCGAAAACAUGAGGGAUGGUCCGAAGCCGUGAAAAUGGCCUCGGGACCCAUUUUCUGCUAGGAAAAAGUGUGCGGUCACGGGAGCCCGAAUAUGGUAACACCGCCAACCGGGGUCGAAAACGUGGGGGAUGGUCCGAAGCCGUGAAAACGGCCUCCGAACAUGUUUUCGGCUGUGAAAACGUGGGCUAUAGGUCACGAGAGCCUGAAUACAGUCACACCGGCAUCCGGGGUCGAAAACAUGGGGAAUGGUCCGAAUCCGUGAAAAUGGCCUCCGGACCUGUUUUCUGCCAAGAAAACGUGUGCUAGAGGUCACGGGAGCCUGAAUACGGUAACACCGCCAACCGGGGUCGAAAACGUGGGGGAUCAUCUGAAGCCGUGAAAACAGCCUCCGGAGACGUUUUCGGCCGUGAAAACGUGGGCUAUAGGUCACUAGAGCCCGAAUACGGUCACAUAGGCAUCCGGUGUCGAAAACAUGAGGGAUGGUCCGAAGCCGUGAAAAUGGCCUCGGGACCCAUUUUCUGCUAGGAAAAAGUGUGCGGUCACGGGAGCCCGAAUAUGGUAACACCGCCAACCGGGGUCGAAAACGUGGGGGAUGGUCCGAAGCCGUGAAAACGGCCUCCGAACAUGUUUUCGGCUGUGAAAACGUGGGCUAUAGGUCACGAGAGCCUGAAUACAGUCACACCGGCAUCCGGGGUCGAAAACGUGGGGGAUGGUCCGAAGCCGUGAAAAUGGCCUCCGGACCCGUUUUCUGCUAGGAAAAAUGUGUGCGGUCAUGGGAUCCCGAAUAUGGUAACACGGACAACAGGGGUCGAAAACGUGGGGGAUGGUCCGAAGCCGUGAAAAUGGCCUCCGGACCUAUUUUCGGCUGUGAAAACGUGGGCUAUAUGUCACGAGAGUCCGAAUACGGUCACACCGGCAUCCGGUGUCGAAAACAUGAGGGAUGGUCCGAAGCCGUGAAAAUGGCCUCGGGACCCAUUUUCUGCUAUAAAAAAGUGUGCGGUCACUGGAGCCCGAAUAUGGUAACACCGCCAACCGGGGUCGAAAACGUGGGGGAUGGUCCGAAGCCGUGAAAACGGCCUCCGAACAUGUUUUGGGCUGUGAAAACGUGGGCUAUAGGUCACGAGAGCCUGAAUACAGUCACACCGGCAUCCGGGGUCGAAAACGUGGGGAAUGGUCCGAAUCCGUGAAAAUGGCCUCCGGACCUGUUUUCUGCCAAGAAAACGUGUGCUAUAGGUCACGGGAGCCUGAAUACGGUAACACCGCCAACCGGGGUCGAAAACGUGGGGGAUAAUUUGAAGCCGUGAAAACAGCCUCCGGAGACGUUUUCGGCCGUGAAAACGUGGGCUAUAGGUCACGAGAGCCCGAAUACGGUCACACCGGCAUCCGGGGUCGAAAACGUGGGGGAUGGUCCAAAGCCGUGAAAAUGGCCUUCGGACCCGGUUUCGGCCAAGAAAACGUGUGCUAUAGGUCACGGGAUCCCGAAUACGGUCACACCGGUAACCGGGGUCUAAAACACGGGUGAUCAUCCGAAGCCGUGAAAAUUGCCUCAGGACCCAUUUUUGGCCAAGAAAACGUGUGCUAUAGGUCACGGGAGACCGAAUACGGUCACACCGGAACCGGGGACGAAAAUGUGGGGGAUGGUCCGAAGCCGUGAAAACGGCCUCCGAACAUGUUUUCGGCUGUGAAAACGUGGGCUAUAGGUCACGGGAGCCCGAGUACGGUCACACAGGCAUCCGGCGUCGAAAACGUGGGGGAUGGUCCGAAGCCGUGAAAAUGGCCUCCGGACCCGUUUUCUGCUAGGAAAAAUGUGUGCGGUCAUGGGAGCCCGAAUAUGGUAACACGGACAACAGGGGUCGAAAACGUGGGGGAUGGUCCGAAGCCGUGAAAAUGGCCUCCGGACCUAUUUUCGGCUGUGAAAACGUGGGCUAUAUGUCACGAGAGUCCGAAUACGGUCACACCGGCAUCCGGUGUCGAAAACAUGAGGGAUGGUCCGAAGCCGUGAAAAUGGCCUCGGGACCCAUUUUCUGCUAGGAAAAAGUGUGCGGUCACGGGAGCCCGAAUAUGGUAACACCGCCAACCGGGGUCGAAAACGUGGGGGAUGGUCCGAAGCCGUGAAAACGGCCUCCGAACAUGUUUUCGGAUGUGAAAACGUGGGCUAUAGGUCACGAGAGCCUGAAUACAGUCACACCGGCAUCCGGGGUCGAAAACGUGGGGAAUGGUCCGAAUCCGUGAAAAUGGCCUCCGGACCUGUUUUCUGCCAAGAAAACGUGUGCUAUAGGUCACGGGAGCCUGAAUACGGUAACACCGCCAACCGGGGUCGAAAACGUGGGGGAUCAUCCGAAGCCGUGAAAACAGCCUCCGGAGACGUUUUCGGCCGUGAAAACGUGGGCUAUAGGUCACGAGAGCCCGAAUACGGUCACACCGGCAUCCGGGGUCGAAAACGUGGGGGAUGGUCCAAAGCCGUGAAAAUGGCCUUCGGACCCGGUUUCGGCCAAGAAAACGUGUGCUAUAGGUCACGGGAUCCCGAAUACGGUCACACCGGUAACCGGGGUCUAAAACACGGGUGAUCAUCCGAAGCCGUGAAAAUUGCCUCAGGACCCAUUUUUGGCCAAGAAAACGUGUGCUAUAGGUCACGGGAGACCGAAUACGGUCACACCGGAACCGGGGACGAAAAUGUGGGGGAUGGUCCGAAGCCGUGAAAACGGCCUCCGAACAUGUUUUCGGCUGUGAAAACGUGGGCUAUAGGUCACGGGAGCCCGAGUACGGUCACACAGGCAUCCGGCGUCGAAAACGUGGGGGAUGGUCCGAAGCCGUGAAAAUGGCCUCCGGACCCGUUUUCUGCUAGGAAAAAUGUGUGCGGUCAUGGGAGCCCGAAUAUGGUAACACGGACAACACGGGUCGAAAACGUGGGGGAUGGUCCGAAGCCGUGAAAAUGGCCUCCGGACCUGUUUUCUGCCAAGAAAACGUGUGCUAUAGGUCACGGGAGCCUGAAUACGGUAACACCGCCAACCGGGGUCGAAAACGUGGGGGAUCAUCCGAAGCCGUGAAAACAGCCUCCGGAGACGUUUUCGGCCGUGAAAACGUGGGCUAUAGGUCACGAGAGCCCGAAUACGGUCACACCGGCAUCCGGGGUCGAAAACGUGGGGGAUGGUCCAAAGUCGUGAAAAUGGCCUUCGGACCCGGUUUCGGCCAAGAAAACGUGUGCUAUAGGUCACGGGAUCCCGAAUACGGUCACACCGGUAACCGGGGUCUAAAACACGGGUGAUCAUCCGAAGCGGUGAAAAUUGCCUCAGGACCCAUUUUUGGCCAAGAAAACGUGUGCUAUAGGUCACGGGAGACAGAAUACGGUCACACCGGAACCAGGGACGAAAAUGUGGGGGAUGGUCCGAAGCCGUGAAAACGGCCUCCGGACCUAUUUUCGGCUGUGAAAACGUGGGCUAUAUGUCACGAGAGUCCGAAUACGGUCACACCGGCAUCCGGUGUCGAAAACAUGAGGGAUGGUCCGAAGCCGUGAAAAUGGCCUCGGGACCCAUUUUCUGCUAGGAAAAAGUGUGCGGUCACGGGAGCCCGAAUAUGGUAACACCGCCAACCGGGGUCGAAAACGUGGGGGAUGGUCCGAAGCCGUGAAAACGGCCUCCGAACAUGUUUUCGGAUGUGAAAACGUGGGCUAUAGGUCACGAGAGCCUGAAUACAGUCACACCGGCAUCCGGGGUCGAAAACGUGGGGAAUGGUCCGAAUCCGUGAAAAUGGCCUCCGGACCUGUUUUCUGCCAAGAAAACGUGUGCUAUAGGUCACGGGAGCCUGAAUACGGUAACACCGCCAACCGGGGUCGAAAACGUGGGGGAUCAUCCGAAGCCGUGAAAACAGCCUCCGGAGACGUUUUCGGCCGUGAAAACGUGGGCUAUAGGUCACGAGAGCCCGAAUACGGUCACACCGGCAUCCGGGGUCGAAAACGUGGGGGAUGGUCCAAAGCCGUGAAAAUGGCCUUCGGACCCGGUUUCGGCCAAGAAAACGUGUGCUAUAGGUCACGGGAUCCCGAAUACGGUCACACCGGUAACCGGGGUCUAAAACACGGGUGAUCAUCCGAAGCCGUGAAAAUUGCCUCAGGACCCAUUUUUGGCCAAGAAAACGUGUGCUAUAGGUCACGGGAGACCGAAUACGGUCACACCGGAACCGGGGACGAAAAUGUGGGGGAUGGUCCGAAGCUGUGAAAACUGCCUCCGGACCUAUUUUCGGCUGUGAAAACGUGGGCUAUAUGUCACGAGAGUCCGAAUACGGUCACACCGGCAUCCGGUGUCGAAAACAUGAGGGAUGGUCCGAAGCCGUGAAAAUGGCCUCGGGACCCAUUUUCUGCUAGGAAAAAGUGUGCUAUAGGUCACGGGAGCCCGGGUACGGUCACACAGGCAUCCGGCGUCGAAAACGUGGGGGAUGGUCCGAAGCCGUGAAAAUGGCCUCCGGACCCGUUUUCUGCUAGGAAAAAUGUGUGCGGUCAUGGGAGCCCGAAUAUGGUAACACGGACAACAGGGGUCGAAAACGUGGGGGAUGGUCCGAAGCCGUGAAAAUGGCCUCCGGACCUGUUUUCUGCCAAGAAAACGUGUGCUAUAGGUCACGGGAGCCUGAAUACGGUAACACCGCCAACCGGGGUCGAAAACGUGGGGGAUCAUCCGAAGCCGUGAAAACAGCCUCCGGAGACGUUUUCGGCCGUGUAAACGUGGGCUAUAGGUCACGAGAGCCCGAAUACGGUCACACCGGCAUCCGGGGUCGAAAACGUGGGGGAUGGUCCAAAGUCGUGAAAAUGGCCUUCGGACCCGGUUUCGGCCAAGAAAACGUGUGCUAUAGGUCACGGGAUCCCGAAUACGGUCACACCGGUAACCGGGGUCUAAAACACGGGUGAUCAUCCGAAGCGGUGAAAAUUGCCUCAGGACCCAUUUUUGGCCAAGAAAACGUGUGCUAUAGGUCACGGGAGACAGAAUACGGUCACACCGGAACCAGGGACGAAAAUGUGGGGGAUGGUCCGAAGCCGUGAAAACGGCCUCCGGACCUAUUUUCGGCUGUGAAAACGUGGGCUAUAUGUCACGAGAGUCCGAAUACGGUCACACCGGCAUCCGGUGUCGAAAACAUGAGGGAUGGUCCGAAGCCGUGAAAAUGGCCUCGGGACCCAUUUUCUGCUAGGAAAAAGUGUGCGGUCACGGGAGCCCGAAUAUGGUAACACCGCCAACCGGGGUCGAAAACGUGGGGGAUGGUCCGAAGCCGUGAAAACGGCCUCCGAACCUUUUUUCGGCUGUGAAAACGUGGGCUAUAGGUCACGAGAGCCUGAAUACAGUCACACCGGCAUCCGGGGUCGAAAACGUGGAUAAUGGUCCGAAUCGAUGAAAAUGGCCUCCGGACCUGUUUUCUGCCAAGAAAACGUGUGCUAUAGGUCACGGGAGCCUGAAUACGGUAACACCGCCAACCGGGGUCGAAAACGUGGGGGAUCAUCCGAAGCCGUGAAAACAGCCUCCGGAGACGUUUUCGGCCGUGAAAACGUGGGCUAUAGGUCACGAGAGCCCGAAUACGGUCACACCGGCAACCGGGGUCGAAAACGUGGGGGAUGGUCCAAAGUCGUGAAAAUGGCCUUCGGACCCGGUUUCGGCCAAGAAAACGUGUGCUAUAGGUCACGGGAUCCCGAUUACGGUCACACCGGUAACCGGGGUCUAAAACACGGGUGAUCAUCCGAAGCCGUGGAAAUUGCCUCAGGACCCAUUUUUGGCCAAGAAAACGUGUGCUAUAGGUCACGGGAGACCGAAUACGGUCACACCAGAACCGGGGACGAAAAUGUGGGGGAUGGUCCGAAGCUGUGAAAACUGCCUCCGGACCUAUUUUCGGCUGUGAAAACGUGGGCUAUAUGUCACGAGAGUCCGAAUACGGUCACACCGGCAUCCGGUGUCGAAAACAUGAGGGAUGGUCCGAAGCCGUGAAAAUGGCCUCGGGACCCAUUUUCUGCUAGGAAAAAGUGUGCUAUAGGUCACGGGAGCCCGAAUACGAUCACACCGGCAUCCGGGGUCGAAAACGUGGGGAAUGGUCCGAAGCCGUGAAAAUGGCCUUCGGACCCGUUUUGUGCUAGGAAAACGUGUGCUAUAGGUCACGGGAGCCCGAAUAUGGCAACACCAACAACCGGGGUCGAAAACGUGGGGGAUGGUCCGAAGCCGUAAAAAUGGCCUUCGGACCCAUUUUUGACCGUGAAAACAUGUGCUAUAGGUCAGGGGAGCCCGAAUACGGUCACACCGGCAUACGGGGUCAAACACGUGGGGGAUGGUCUGAAGCCGUGAAAAUGGCCUCCGGACCAGUUUUCUGCCAAGAAAAUGAGUGCUAUAGGUCACGGGAGCCCGAAUACGGUCACACCGGCAUCCGGGGUCGAAAACGUUGGGGAUGGUCCGAAGCCGUGAAAAUGGCCUUCAGACCCGUUUUGUGCUAGGAAAACGUGUGCUAUAGGUCACGGGAGCCCGAAUAUGGUAACACCGACAACCGGGGUCGAAAACGUGGGGGAUGGUCCGAAGCCGUGAAAAUGGCCUUCGGACCCGUUUUCGGCCGUGAAAACAUGUGCUAUAGGUCAGGGGAGCCCGAAUACCGUCACACCGGCAUCCGGGGUCAAACACGUGGGGGAUGGUCCGAAGCCGUGAAAAUGGCCUCCGGACCCGUUUUCUGCCAAGAAAAUGAGUGCUAUAGGUCACGGGAGCCCGAAUACGGUGACACCGACAACAGGGGUCGAAAACGUGGGGGAUGGUCCGAAGCUGGAAAAAUGGCCUCCGGACCCGUUUUCGGCCGUGAAAACAUGUGCUAUAGGUCACGGGAGCCCGAAUACGAUCACACCGGCAUCCGGGGUCAAAAACGUGGGGAAUGGUCCGAAGCCGUGAAAAUGGCCUCCAGACCCGUUUUCUGGCUAGAAAACGUGUGCUAUAGGUCACGGGAGCCUAAAUUUGGUAACACCGCCAACCGGGGUCGAAAACACGGGGGAUGGUCCGAAGCCGUGAAAAUGGCCUCCGGACCCGUUUUGCUGCUAAGAAAAUGAGUGCUAUAGGUCAUGGGAGCCCGAAUACGGUAACACCGACAACAGGGGUCGAAAACGUGGGGGAUGGUCCGAAGCCGGAUAAAUGGCCUCCGGACCCGUUUUCGGCCGUGAAAACGUGUGCUAUAGGUCACGGGAGCCCGAAUACGAUCACACCGGCAUCCGGGGUCGAAAACGUGGGGAAUGGUCCGAAGCCGUGAAAAUGGCCUCCGGACCCGUUUUCUGCUAAGAAAACGUGUGCUAUAGGUCACGGGAGCCUAAAUUUGGUAACACCGCCAACCGGGGUCGAAAACGCGGGGGAUGGUCCGAAGCCGUGAAAACGGCCUCCAGACACAUUUUCGGCCGUGAAAACGUGGGCUAUAGGUCACGAGAGCCCGAAUACGGUCACACGGCAUCCGGGGUCGAGAACGUGGGGGAUGGUCCAAAGCCGUGAAAAUGGCCUCCGGACCCGUUUUCGGCCGUGAAACCGUCUGCUAAAGGUCACGGGAGCCCGAAUACGGUCACACCGGCAUGCGGGGUCGAAAACGUGGGGGAUGGUCCGAAGCCGUGAAAUUGGCCUCCAGACCCGUUUUCCACCAAGAAAAUGUGUGCUAUAGGUCACAGGAGCUCGAAUACCGUUACACCGACAACCGGGGUCGAAAACGUGGGGGAUGGUCCGAAGCCGUAAAAAUAGCCUCCGGACCCAUUUUCGGCCAUGCAAACGUGUGCUAUAGGUCACGGGACCCGAGAACGGUCACACAGGCAUCCGGGGUCGAAAACGUGGGGGAUGGUCCGAAGCCGUGAAAAUGGCCUCCGGACCCGCUUUCUGCUAGGAAAACGUAUGCUAUAGGUCACAGGAGCCCGAAUAUGGUAACACCGAGAACCGGGGUCGAAAACGUGGGGGAUGGUCCGAAGCCAUGAAAAUGGCCUCCGGACCCGUUUUCGACCGUGAAAACAUGUGCUAUAGGUCACGGGAUCCCGAAUACGGUCACACCGGCAGCCGAGGUUGAAAACGUGGGGGGUGGUCCGAUACCGUGAAAUUGGCCUCCGGUUCGUUUUCCACGAAGAAAUUGUGUGCUAUAGGUCACGGGAGCCCGAAUACGGUUACACCGGCAUCUGGGGUUGAAAACGUGGGGGAUGGUUCGAAGCCGUGAAAUUGGCCUCCGGUUCAUUUUCCACCAAGAAAAUGUGUGCUAUAGGUCACAGGAGCCCGAAUACGGUUACACUGACAACCGGGGUUGAAAACGUGGGGGAUGGUUCGAAGCCGUGAAAUUGGCCUCCGGUUCAUUUUCCACCAAGAAAAUGUGUGCUAUAGGUCACGGGAGCCCGAAUACGGUUACACCGACAACCGGGGUCGAAAACGUGGGGGAUGGUCCGAAGCCAUGAAAAUGGCCUCCGGACCCGUUUUCGGCCAUGAAAACAUGUGCUAUAGGUCACGGGAGCCCGAAUACGGUCACACCGGCAUCUGGGGUUGAAAACGUGGGGGAUGGUUCGAAGCCGUGAAAUUGGCCUCCGGUUCAUUUUCCACCAAGAAAAUGUGUGCUAUAGGUCACGGGAGCCCGAAUACGGUUACACCGACAACCGGGGUCGAAAACGUGGGGGAUGGUCCGAAGCCAUGAAAAUGGCCACCGGACCCGUUUUCGGCCGUGAAAACAUGUGCUAUAGGUCACGGGAGCCCGAAUACGGUCACACCGGCAUCUAGGGUCGAAAACGUGGGGGAUGGUCCGAAGCCGUGAAAAUGGCCUCCGGACCCGUUUUCUUCCAAGAAAACGUGUGCUAUAGGUCACGGGAGACUGAAUACGGUCACACCAGCAACCGGUGUCGAAAACGUGGGGAAGGUCCGAAAUCGUGAAAAUGGCCUCCGGACCCGUUUUCUUCCAAGAAAACGUGUGCUAUAGGUCACCGGAGCCCGAAUACAGUCACACCGGGAACCGGGGUCGAAAACGUGGGUGAUCGUCCCAAGCUGUAAAAAUGGCCUCCGGACCCGUUUUCUGCCAAGAAAAUGUGUGCUAUAGGUCACGGGAGCCUGAAUACGGUCACACCAGCCACAGGGGUCGAAAACGUGGGGGAUGGUCCGAAGCCAUGAAAAUGGCCUUCGGACCCGUUUUGUGCUAGGAAAACGUGUGCUAUAGGUCACGGGAGCCCGAAUAUGGCAACACCACCAACUGGGGUCGAAAACGUGGGGGAUGGUCCGAAGCCGUAAAAAUGGCCUUCGGACCCGUUUUCGACCGUGAAAACAUGUGCUAUAGGUCAGGGGAGCCCGAAUACGGUCACACCGGCAUACGGGGUCAAACACGUGGGGGAUGGUCCGAAGCCGUGAAAAUGGCCUCCGGACCAGUUUUCUGCCAAGAAAAUGAGUGCUAUAGGUCACGGGAGCCCGAAUACGGUCACACCGGCAUCCGGGGUCGAAAACGUUGGGGAUGGUCCGAAGCCGUGAAAAUGGCCUUCAGACCCGUUUUGUGCUUGGAAAACGUGUGCUAUAGGUCACGGGAGCCCGAAUAUGGUAACACCGACAACCGGGGUCGAAAACGUGGGGGAUGGUCCGAAGCCGUGAAAAUGGCCUUCGGACCCGUUUUCGGCCGUGAAAACAUGUGCUAUAGGUCAGGGGAGCCCGAAUACCGUCACACCGGCAUCCGGGGUCAAACACGUGGGGGAUGGUCCGAAGCCGUGAAAAUGACCUCCGGACCCGUUUUCUGCCAAGAAAAUGAGUGCUAUAGGUCACGGGAGCCCGAAUACGGUGACACCGACAACAGGGGUCGAAAACGUGGGGGAUGGUCCGAAGCCGGAAAAAAUGGCCUCCGGACCCGUUUUCGGCCGUGAAAACAUGUGCUAUAGGUCAUGGGAGCCCGAAUACGAUCACACCGGCAUCCGGGGUCGAAAACGUGGGGAAUGGUCCGAAGCCGUGAAAAUGGCCUCCAGACCCGUUUUCUGGCUAGAAAACGUGUGCUAUAGGUCACGGGAGCCUAAAUUUGGUAACACCGCCAACCGGGGUCGAAAACACGGGGGAUGGUCCGAAGCCGUGAAAAUGGCCUCCGGACCCGUUUUGCUGCCAAGAAAAUGAGUGCUAUAGGUCAUGGGAGCCCGAAUACGGUAACACCGACAACAGGGGUCGAAAACGUGGGGGAUGGUCCGAAGCCGGAUAAAUGGCCUCCGGACCCGUUUUCGGCCGUGAAAACGUGUGCUAUAGGUCACGGGAGCCCGAAUACGAUCACACCGGCAUCCGGGGUCGAAAACGUGGGGAAUGGUCCGAAGCCGUGAAAAUGGCCUCCGAACCCGUUUUCUGCUAAGAAAACGUGUGCUAUAGGUCACGGGAGCCUAAAUUUGGUAACACCGCCAACCGGGGUCGAAAACGCGGGGGAUGGUCUGAAGCCGUGAAAACGGCCUCCAGACACAUUUUCGGCCGUUAAAACGUGGGCUAUAGGUCACGAGAGCCCGAAUACGGUCACACGGCAUCCGGGGUCGAGAACGUAGGGGAUGGUCCAAAGCCGUGAAAAUGGCCUCCGGACCCGUUUUCGGCCGUGAAACCGUCUGCUAAAGGUCACGGGAGCCCGAAUACGGUCACACCGGCAUGCGGGGUCGAAAACGUGGGGGAUGGUCCGAAGCCGUGAAAUUGGCCUCCAGACCCGUUUUCCACCAAGAAAAUGUGUGCUAUAGGUCACGGGAGCUCGAAUACCGUUACACCGACAACCGGGGUCGAAAACGUGGGGGAUGGUCCGAAGCCGUAAAAAUAGCCUCCGGACCCAUUUUCGGCCAUGCAAACGUGUGCUAUAGGUCAUGGGACCCAAGAACGGUCACACAGGCAUCCGGGGUCGAAAACGUGGGGGAUGGUCCGAAGCCGUGAAAAUGGCCUCCGGACCCGUUUUCUGCUAGGAAAAACGUGUGCGGUCAUGGGAGCCCGAAUAUGGUAACACGGACAACAGGGGUCGAAAACGUGGGGGAUGGUCCGAAGCCGUGAAAAUGGCCUCCGGACCUAUUUUCGGCUGUGAAAACGUGGCCUAUAUGUCACGAGAGUCCGAAUACGGUCACACCGGCAUCCGGUCUUGAAAACGUGGGGGAUGGUCCAAAGCCGUGAAAAUGGCCUCGGGACCCGUUUUCUGCUAGGAAAAAGUGUGCGGUCACGGGAGCCCGAAUAUGGUAACACCGCCAACCGGGGUCGAAAACGUGGGGGAUGGUCCGAAGCCGUGAAAAUGGCCUUCGGACCCGUUUUCGGCCGUGAAAAUAUGUGCUAUAGGUCACGGGAGGCCGAAUACCGUCACACCGGCAUCCGGGGUCAAACACAUGGGGGAUGGUCCGAAGCCGUGAAAAUGGCCUCCGGACCCGUUUUCUGCCAAGAAAAUGAGUGCUAUAGGUCACGCGAGCCUGAAUACGGUCACACCGGCAUCCGGGGUCGAAAACGUGGGGGAUGGUCCGAAGCCGUGAAAUUCGCCUCCGGACCCGUUUUCCACAAAGAAAAUGUGUGCUAUAGGUCACUCGAUCCCGAAUACAGUCACAUCGGCAACCGGGGUCGAAAACGUGGGUGAUCGUCCCAAGCUGUGAAAAUGGCCUUCGGACCCGUUUUCAGCCAAGAAAAUGAAUGCUAUAGGUCACGGGAGCCCGAAUACGGUCACACUAGCCACCGGGGUCGAAAACAUGGGGGAUGGUCCGAAGUCGUGAAAAUGGCCUCCGGACCCAUUUUCAGCUGUGAAAACCUGGGCUAUAGGUCACGAGAGUCCGAAUACGGUCACACAGGCAUCCGGGGUCGAAAACGUGGGGGAUGGUCUGAAGCCGUGAAAUUGUCCUCUGGACCUGUUUUCUGCUAGGAAAACGUGUGCGGUCACGGGAGCCCGAAUAUGGUAACACGGACAACUUGGGUCGAAAACGUGGGGGAUGGUCCAAAGCCGUGAAAAUGGCCUCCGGACCCGUUUUCUGCUAGAAAAACGUGUGUGGUCACGAGGGCCCGAAUAUGGUAACACCGACAACGAGGGUCGAAAACGUGGGGGAUGGUCCGAAGUCGUGAAAAUGGCCUCCGGACCCGUUUUCGGCCGUGAAAACGUGGGCUAUAGGUGACGAGAGCCCGAAUACGGUCACACCGGCAUCCGGGGUCGAAAACGUGGGGGAUGGUCUGAAGCCGUGAAAAUGGCCUCCGGACGCAUUUUCUGCAAGGAAAACGUGUGCUAUAGGUCACGGGAGCCCGAAUACGAUCACACUUACAACCGGGGUCGAAAACGUGGGUAAUGUUCCCAAGCCGUGAAAAUGGCUUCCGGACCCUUUUUCUGCUAGGAAAAUGUGUGCUAUAGGUCACGGGAGCCCGAAUACGAUCACACUUACAACCGGGGUCGAAAACGUGGGCGAUGGUCGGAAGCCGUGAAAAUGGCCUCCGGACCCGUUUUCGGCCGUGAAAACGUGUGCUAUAGGUCAUGGGAGCCCGAACAUGGUAACACCGACAACCGGGGUCGAAAACGUGGGGGAUGGUCCGAAGCUGUGAAAAUGGCCUCCGGACCCGUUUUAUGCAAGGAAAACGUGUGCUAUAGGUCAUGGGAGCUCGAAUACGAUCAAACCGACAACUGGGGUCGAAAACGUGGGGGAAGGUCAAAAGCCGUGAAAAUGGCCUCCGGAACCGUUUUCGGCCGUGAAAACGUGUGCUAUAAGUCAUGGGAGCCCGAACAUGGUAACACCGACAACUGGGGUUGAAAACGUGGGGAUGGUCCGAAGCCAUGAAAAUGGCCUCCGGACCCAUUUUCGGCCGUGAAAACAUGUGCUAUAGGUCACGGGAGCCCGAAUACCGUCACACAGGCAUCCGGGGUCAAACACGUGGGGGAUGGUCCGAAGCCGUGAAAAUGGCCUCCGGACCCGUUUUCUGCCAAGAAAAUUAGUGCUAUAGGUCACGGGAGCCCGAAUACGGUCAACCGGCAUCCCGGGUCGAAAACGUGGGGGAUGGUCCGAAGCCGUGAAAUUAGCCUCCGGACCCGUUUUCCACCAAGAAAAUGUGUGCUAUAGGUCACGCGAGCCCGAAUACGGUUACACCCACAACCGGGGUCGAAAACGUGGGGGAUGGUCCGAAGCCGUAAAAAUGGCCUUCAGACCCAUUUUCGGCCAUGCAAACGUGUGCUAUAGGUCACGGGAGCCCGAGUACGGUCACACAGCCAUCCGGGGUCGAAAAUGUGAGGGAUGGUCCGAAGCCGUGAAAUUGGCCUCCGGACCCGUUUUCUGCAAGGAAAACGUGUGCGGUCACGGGAGCCCGAAUAUGGUAACACGGACAACUAGGGUCGAAAACGUGGGGGACGGUUUGAAGCCGUGAAAAUGGCCUCCGGACCCAUUUUCGGCUGUGAAAACGUGGGCUAUAGGUCAAGAGAGUCCGAAUACAGUCACACCGGCAUCCGGGGUCGAAAAUGUGGGGGAUUGUCCGAAGCCGUGAAAAUAGCCUCCGGACCCGUUUUCCGCUAGGAAAACGUGUGCUAUAGGUCACGGGAGCCCGAAUAUGGUCACACGGACAACCGGGGUCGAAAACGUGGGGGAUGGUCCGAAGCCGUGAAAAUGGCCUUCGGACCCGUUUUCGGCCGUGAAAACAUGUGCUAUAGGUCACGGGAGCCCGAAUACCGUCACACACCGGCAUCCGAGGUCAAACACAUGGGGGAUGGUCCGAAGCCGUGAAAAUGGCCUCCGAACCCGUUUUCGGCCAAGAAAAUGAGUGCUAUAGGUCACGGGAGCCCGAAUACGGUCACACCGGCAUCCGGGGUCGAAAACGUGGGGGAUGGUCCGAAGCAGUGAAAAUGGCCUCCGAACCCAUUUUCUGCCGUGAAAAUGUGUGCUAUAGGUCACGGGAGCCCGAAUAUGGUAACACCGACAACCGAGGUCGAAAACGUGGGGGAUGGUCCGAAGCCGUGAAAAUGGCCUCCAGACCCGUUUUCGGCCGUGAAAACAUGUGCUAUAGGUCACGGGAGCCCGAAUACGGUCACAGCGGCAUCCGGGGUCAAAAACGUGGGGGAUGGUCCGAGGCCGUGAAAAUGGCCUCCGGACCCGUUUUCCGCAAAGAAAAUGAGUGCUAUAGGUCACGCGAGCCCGAAUACGGUAACACCGACAACCGAGGUCGAAAACGUGGGGGAUGGUCCGAAGUCGUAAAAAUGGCCUCCGGACCCGUUUUCGGCCGUGAAAACAUGUGCUAUCGGUCACGGGAGCGCGAAUACGGUCACACCGCCAACCUGGGUCGACAACAUGGGGGGUGGUCCGAAGCCGUGAAAACGGCCUCCGGACCCGUUUUCGGCCGUGAAAACGUGGUCUAUAGGUCAUGAGAGCCCGAAUACGGUCACACCGGCAUCCGGGGUCGAAAACGUGGGGAAUGGUCCGAAGCCGUGAAAACGGCCUUCGGACCCGUUUUCUGCCAAGAAAACAUGUGCUGUAGGUCACGGUAGCCCGAAUACAGUAACACCGACAACCGGUGUCGAAAACGUGCGGGAUGCUCCAAAGCCGUGAAAAUGGCCUCCAGACCCGUUUUCUGCUAGGAAAAUGUGUGCUAUAGGUCACGGGAGCCUGAAUACAGUCACACCGCCAACCGGGGUCGAAAACAUGGCGGAUGGUCCGAAGCCGUGAAAACGGCCUCCGGACCCGUUUUCGGCCGUGAAAACAUGUGCUAUAGGUCACAAGAGCCCGAAUACGGUCACAGCGGCAUCCGGGGUCGAAAAUGUGGGGAAUGGUCCGAAGCCGUGAAAAUGGCCUCCGGACCUAUUUUCUGCCAAGAAAACGUGUGCUAUAGGUCACGGGAGCCCGAAUACGGUAACACCGACAACCGGUGAAAAAAACGUGGCGGAUGCUCCAAAGCCGUGAAAAUGGCCUCCGGACCCGUUUUCUGCUAGGAAAACUUGUGCUAUAGGUCACGGGAGCCCGAAUACGGUCACACCGACAACCGGGGUCGAAAACGUAAGGGAUGGUCCGAAGCCGCGAAAAUGGCCUCCGGACCCAUUUUCGGCCGUGAAAACGUCUGCUAUAGGUCACGGGAGCCCGAAUACGGUCACACCGGCAUCCGGGGUCGAAAACGUGGGGGGUGGUCCGAAGCCGUAAAAAUGGCCUCCGGACCCGUUUUCGGCCGUGAAAAGGUGUGCGGUCACGGGAGCCCGAAUAUGGUAACACCGACAGCCGAGGUCGAAAACGUGGGGGAUGGCUCGAAGCCGUGAAAAUGGCCUCCGGACCCGUUUUCGGCUGUGAAAACGUGUGCUAUAGGUCACGGGAGCCCGAAUACGAUCACAGCGGCAUCCGGGGUCAAAAACGUGGGGGAUGGUCCGAAGCCGUGAAAAUGGCCUCCGGACCCGUUUUCCGCAAAGAAAAUGAGUGCUAUAGGUCACGCGAGCCCGAAUACGGUAACACCGACAACCGAGGUCGAAAACGGGGGGGAUGGUCCGAAGUCGUAAAAACGGCCUCCGGACCCGUUUUCGGCCGUGAAAACGUGUGCUAUAGGUCACGGGAGCGCGAAUAUGGUCACACCGCCAACCGGGGUCGAAAACAUGGGGGAUGGUCCGAAGCCGUGAAAAGGGCCUCCGGACCCGUUUUCGACCGUGAAAACUUGUGCUAUAGGUCGCGAGAGCACGAAUACGGUCACACCGGCAUCCGGGGUCGAAAACGUGGGGAAUGGUCCGAAGCCGUGAAAAUGGCCUCCGGACCUGUUUUCUGCCAAGAAAACGUGUGCUAUAGGUCACGGGAGCCCGAAUACGGUAACACCGACAACCGGUGUUGAAAACGUGGGGGAUGCUCCAAAGCCGUGAAAAUGGCCUCCGGACCCGGUUUCUGCUAGGAAAACGUGUGCAAUAGGUCACGGGAGCCCGAAUACGGUCACACCGACAACCGGGGUCGAAAACGUGGGGGGUGGUCCGAAGCCGUGAAAAUGGCCUUCGGACCAGGUUUCGGCCAAGAAAAUGUGUGCUAUAGGUCACGGGAGCCCGAAUACGGUCACAUCGGUAACCGGGGUCUAAAACACGGGUGAUCGUCCGAAGCCGAAAAAACUUCCUCAGGACCCAUUUUUGGCCAAGAAAUUGUAUGCCAUAGGUCACGGGAGACCGAAUACGGUCACACCGGAACCGGGGUCGAAAAUGUGGGGAAUGUCCGAAGCCGUAAAAAUGGCCUCCGGACCCGUUUUCGGUUGUGAAAAUGUGUGCUAUAGGUCACGGGAGCCCGAAUAUGGUCACACCGGCCACCGGGGUCGAAAACGUGAGGGAUGGUCCGUAGCCGUGAAAAUAGCCUCCGGACUCGUUUUUGGCAAUGAAAACCUAUGCUAUAGGUCAUGGGAGCCUGAAAACGGCCACACCAUCAAUCGGGGUCAAAAAUGUGGGGGGUGGUCCGAAUCCGUGAAAAUGGCCACCAGACCCAUUUUCGACCGUGAAAACGUGUGCUAAAGGUCACGGGAGCCCGAAAACAGCCACACUGGUCACCGGGGUCGAAAACCUGGGGGAUGGUAUGAAGCAUUAAAAAUAUACUCCGGACCCGUUUUCGGCCAUGAAAACGUGGGCUAUAGGUCACGGGUGCCCGAAUACGGUCACACCGGCAUCUGGGGUUGAAAACGUGGGGGAUGGUCCGAAGCCGUGAAAUUUGCCUCCGGACUCGUUUUCCACCAAGGAAAUGUGUGCUAUAGGUCACGGGAGCCCGAAUACGAUCACACCGAUAACUGGGGUCGAAAACGUGGGGGAUGGUCGGAAGCCGUGAAAAUGGCCUCCGAACCCGUUUUCGGCCGCGAAAAUGUGUGCUAUAGGUCACGGGAGCCCGAAUAUCGUAACACCGAGAACCGGGGUCGAAAACGUGGGGGAUGGUCCGAAGCCAUGAAAAUGGCCUCCGGACCCGUUUUCAACCGUGAAAACAUGUGCUAUAGGUCACGGGAGCCCGAAUACGGUCACACCAGCAUCUGGGGUUGAAAACGUGGGGGAUGGUCCGAAGCCGUGAAAUUGGCCUCCGGUUCGUUUUCCACCAAGAAAAUGUGUGCUAUAGGUCACGGGAGCCCGAAUACGGUUACACCGACAACAGGGGUCGAAAACGUGGGGGAUGGUCGGAAGCAAUGAAAAUGGCCUCCGGACCCGUUUUCGGCCGUGAAAACAUGUGCUAUAGGUCACGGGAGCCCGAAUACGGUCACACCGGCAUCCGGGGUCGAAAACGUGGGGGAUGGUCCGAAGCCGUGAAAAUGGCCUCUUGACCCGUUUUCUUCCAAGAAAACGUGUGCUAUAGGUCACGGGAGACUGAAUACGGUCACACCGGCAACCGGUGUCGAAAACGUGGGGAAGGUCCGAAAUCGUGAAAAUGGCAUCCGACCCGUUUUCUUCAAAGAAAAUGUGAGCUAUAGGUCACCGGAGCCCGAAUACAGUCACACCGGGAACCGGGGUGGAAAACGUGGGUGAUCGUCCCAAGCUGUAAAAAUGGCCUCCGGACCCGUUUUCUGCCAAGAAAAUGUGUGCUAUAGGUCACGGGAGCCUGAAUACGGUCACACCAGCCACCGGGGUCGAAAACGUGGGGGAUGGUCCGAAGCCGUGAAAAUGGCCUUCGGACCCGUUUUGUGCUAGGAAAACGUGUGCUAUAGGUCACGGGAGCCCGAAUAUGGUAACACCGACAACCGGGGUCGAAAACGUGGGGGGUGGCCCGAAGCCGUAAAAAUGGCCUUCGGACCCUUUUUCGACCGUGAAAACAUGUGCUAUAGGUCAGGGGAGCCCGAAUACGGUCACACCGGCAUCCGGGGUCAAACACGUGGGGGAUGGUCCGAAGCUGUGAAAAUGGCCUCCGGACCCGUUUUCUGCCAAGAAAAUGAGUGCUAUAGGUCACGGGAGCCCGAAUACGGUAACACCGACAACAGGGGUCGAAAACGUGAGGGAUGGUCCAAAGCCGGAAAAAUGGCCUCCGGACCCGUUUUUGGCCGUGAAAACGUGUGCUAUAGGUCAUGGGAGCCCGAAUACGAUCACACCGGCAUCCGGGGUCGAAAACGUGGGGAAUGGUCCGAAGCCGUGAAAAUGGCCUCCGGACCCAUUUUCUGCCAAGAAAACGUGUGCUAUAGGUCACGGGAGCCUAAAUUUGGUAACACCGCCAACCGGGGUCGAAAACGCGGGGGAUGGUCCGAAGCCGUGAAAACGGUCUCCGGACACAUUUUCGGCCGUGAAAACGUGGGCUAUAGGUCACGAGAGCCCGAAUACGGUCACACCGGCAUCCGGGGUCGAGAACGUGGGGGAUGGUCCAAAGCCGUGAAAGUGGCCUCCGGACCCGUUUUCGGCCGUGAAACCGUCUGCUAAAGGUCACGGGAGCCCGAAUACGGUCACACCGGCAUGCGGGGUCGAAAACGUGGGGGAUGGUCCGAAGCCGUGAAAUUGGCCUCCGGACCCGUUUUCCACCAAGAAAAUGUGUGCUAUAGGUCAUGGGAGCCCGAAUACGGUUACACCGACAACCGGGGUCGAAAACGUGGGGGAUGGUCCGAAGCUGUAAAAAUAGCCUCCGGACCCAUUUUCGGCCAUGCAAACGUGUGCUAUAGGUCACGGCACCCGAGUACGGUCACAUAGGUAUCCGGGGUCGAAAACGUGGGGGAUGGUCCGAAGCCGUGAAAAUGGCCUCCAGACCCGUUUUCUGCUAGGAAAAACGUGUGCGGUCAUGGGAGCCCGAAUAUGGUAACACGGACAACAGGCGUCGAAAACGUGGGGGAUGGUCCGAAGCCGUGAAAAUGGCCUCCGGACCUAUUUUCGGCUGUGAAAACGUGGGCUAUAUGUCACGAGAGUCCGAAUACGGUCACACCGGCAUCCGGUGUCGAAAACGUGGGGGAUGGUCCGAAACCGUGAAAAUGGCCUCGGGACCCAUUUUCUGCUAGGAAAAAGUGUGCGGUCACGGGAUCCCGAAUAUGGUAACACCGCCAACCGGGGUCGAAAACGUGGGGGAUGGUCCGAAGCCGUGAAAACGGCCUCCGAACAUGUUUUCGGUUGUGAAAACGUGGGCUAUAGGUCACGAGAGCCCGAAUACAGUCACACCGGCAUCCGGGGUCGAAAACGUGGGGAAUGGUCCGAAUCCGUGAAAAUGGCCUCCGGACCUGUUUUCUGCCAAGAAAACGUGUGCUAUUGGUCACGGGAGCCUGAAUACGGUAACACCGCCAACCGGGGUCGAAAACGUGGGGAUGAUCCGAAGCCGUGAAAACAGCCUCCGGAGACGUUUUUCGGCCGUGAAAACGUGGGCUAUAGGUCACGAGAGCCCGAAUACGGUCACAACCGGCAUCUGGGGUCGAAAACGUGGGGGAUGGUCCAAAGCCGUGAAAAUGGCCUUCGGACCCGGUUUUCGGCCAAGAAAACGUGUGCUAUAGGUCACCGGAGCCCGAAUAUAGUCACACACCGGCAACCGGGGUCGAAAACGUGGGUGAUCGUCCCAAGCUGUGAAAAUGGCCUUCGGACCCGUUUUUGGCCAAGAAAACGUGUGCUAUAGGUCACGGGAGACCGAAUACGGUCACACCAGCCAUCGGGGUCGAAAACGUGGGGGAUGGUCCGAAGCCGUGAAAAAUGGCCUCCGGACCCGCUUUCUGCUUGGAAAACGUGUGCUAUAGGUCACAGGAGCCCGAAUAUGGUAAACACCGAGAACCGGGGUCGAAAACGUGGGGGAUGGUCCGAAGCCAUGAAAAUUGCCUCCGGACCCGUUUUCGACCGUGAAAACAUGUGCUACAGGUCACGGGAGCCCGAAUACGGUCACACCGGCAGCCGAGGUCGAAAACGUGGGGGAUGGUCCGAUGCCGUGAAAAGUGCCUCCGGUUCGUUUUCCACCAAGAAAAUGUGUGCUAUAGGUCACGGGAGCCCGAAUACGGUUACACCGACAACCGGGGUUGAAAACGUGGGGGAUGGUCCGAAGCCAUGAAAAUGGCCUCCGGACCCGUUUUCGGCUGUGAAAACAUGUGCUAUAGGUCACGGGAGCCCGAAUACGGUCACACCGGCAUCUGGGGUUGAAAAC
rnacentral:lncRNA from 1 species